AGAGUUUGAUCCUGGCUCAGGACGAACGCUGGCGGCGUGCCUAAUACAUGCAAGUCGAACGCUUCUUUCCUCCCGAGUGCUUGCACUCAAUUGGAAAGAGGAGUGGCGGACGGGUGAGUAACACGUGGGUAACCUACCCAUCAGAGGGGGAUAACACUUGGAAACAGGUGCUAAUACCGCAUAACAGUUUAUGCCGCAUGGCAUAAGAGUGAAAGGCGCUUUCGGGUGUCGCUGAUGGAUGGACCCGCGGUGCAUUAGCUAGUUGGUGAGGUAACGGCUCACCAAGGCCACGAUGCAUAGCCGACCUGAGAGGGUGAUCGGCCACACUGGGACUGAGACACGGCCCAGACUCCUACGGGAGGCAGCAGUAGGGAAUCUUCGGCAAUGGACGAAAGUCUGACCGAGCAACGCCGCGUGAGUGAAGAAGGUUUUCGGAUCGUAAAACUCUGUUGUUGGAGAAGAAUGUAUCUGAUAGUAACUGAUCAGGUAGUGACGGUAUCCAACCAGAAAGCCACGGCUAACUACGUGCCAGCAGCCGCGGUAAUACGUAGGUGGCAAGCGUUGUCCGGAUUUAUUGGGCGUAAAGCGAGCGCAGGCGGUUUCUUAAGUCUGAUGUGAAAGCCUUCGGCUCAACCGAAGAAGUGCAUCGGAAACUGGGAAACUUGAGUGCAGAAGAGGACAGUGGAACUCCAUGUGUAGCGGUGAAAUGCGUAGAUAUAUGGAAGAACACCAGUGGCGAAGGCGGCUGUCUGGUCUGUAACUGACGCUGAGGCUCGAAAGCAUGGGUAGCAAACAGGAUUAGAUACCCUGGUAGUCCAUGCCGUAAACGAUGAGUGCUAGGUGUUGGAGGGUUUCCGCCCUUCAGUGCCGCAGCUAACGCAUUAAGCACUCCGCCUGGGGAGUACGACCGCAAGGUUGAAACUCAAAGGAAUUGACGGGGGCCCGCACAAGCGGUGGAGCAUGUGGUUUAAUUCGAAGCAACGCGAAGAACCUUACCAGGUCUUGACAUCCUUUGACCACUCUAGAGAUAGAGCUUUCCCUUCGGGGACAAAGUGACAGGUGGUGCAUGGUUGUCGUCAGCUCGUGUCGUGAGAUGUUGGGUUAAGUCCCGCAACGAGCGCAACCCUUAUUACUAGUUGCCAGCAUUUAGUUGGGCACUCUAGUGAGACUGCCAGUGAUAAACUGGAGGAAGGUGGGGAUGACGUCAAGUCAUCAUGGCCCUUACGACCAGGGCUACACACGUGCUACAAUGGCGCAUACAAAGAGAAGCGACCUCGCGAGAGCAAGCGGACCUCAUAAAGUGCGUCGUAGUCCGGAUUGGAGUCUGCAACUCGACUCCAUGAAGUCGGAAUCGCUAGUAAUCGUGGAUCAGAAUGCCACGGUGAAUACGUUCCCGGGCCUUGCACACACCGCCCGUCA
rnacentral:rRNA from 1 species